rnacentral:rRNA from 1 species
UACGUAGGGGGCAAGCGUUGUCCGGAAUCAUUGGGCGUAAAGAGCGUGUAGGCGGCUUGGUAAGUCCGCUGUGAAAGUCCAGGGCUCAACCCUGGAAAGCCGGUGGAAACUGUCAAGCUUGAGUCCGGAAGAGGCGAGUGGAAUUCCUGGUGUAGCGGUGAAAUGCGCAGAUAUCAGGAGGAACACCGGUGGCGAAGGCGGGUCUCUGGGCCGAUAUUGACGCUGAGGAGCGAAAGCGUGGGGAGCGAACAGG